AUGAAUGGGCGGGCCUUGAUCCCACAAAAAUUAAUUAACAGCUAAUUAC
rnacentral:tRNA from 1 species